UUUCCCUUUUAAGACCCACGCGUUUUUCAUUCUUCUAUUCUAUUUCACGCAGCAAUUGAUAGAUCUAGGUUUUCUAUCUCUUCAUCACUCCUCUUUCUUAUGGUGAAAGGUCACUAGAUCGAGCUUCGUAGGCUCCGAUUCACGAUCUGGUUCUCUCCAUCUUGGCUCAAAGCUCUGAAUCAGUCCGAUUUGAAGAUUAAUUUUAGUCACAUAACCACCAUCACAACCAUACUGUGUCAAUCUUUGCAGCAGCAAUGUCUCUCUUCCUCACAAUGGGUUUUGUGCACUGCAGAUACCUGAUUUCCACUCUGUUCUGAUGAAGGUCUACCU